rnacentral:rRNA from 1 species
UACAGAGGGGGCAAGCGUUGUUCGGAAUUACUGGGCGUAAAGGGCGCGUAGGCGGCCUUCUAAGUCGAACGUGAAAUCCCCGGGCUCAACCCGGGAACUGCGUCCGAUACUGGAAGGCUUGAAUCCAGGAGAGGGAUGCGGAAUUCCAGGUGUAGCGGUGAAAUGCGUAGAUAUCUGGAGGAACACCGGUGGCGAAGGCGGCAUCCUCGGACCGGCAUUGACGCUGAGGCGCGAAAGCCAGGGGAGCAAAGCGGGGA